UCUCUCGUAGCUUACUUGGACAGAGCAUUGGUGCGUCAAGCCAAAGGUCCCGGGUUCGAUUCCCGGCGGGGGGU
rnacentral:tRNA from 1 species